CCAUCGGUGGUUCAGUGGUAGAAUGCUCGCCUGCCACGCGGGGGGCGUGGUUAAAACUUAUUUAUAUAUUAUACAAGAAUGACAUCCACCGCGCCAAUUUAUAAUUGUAACGAAUAGUAUUUGAAUAAAAGCAUUUAAUCGGGAAAACCCGGGCGUUGCCCGGGUCAUUCGGCUAGUUAAAAUAUACAAGUAUCAGAGUCAUGCACAAUUCUGUCACCGUUUACUUUUGGUUCUGUGGUAGAAUGCUCGCCCCGGGUUCGAUUCCCGGCCGAUGCA